rnacentral:rRNA from 1 species
UACAGAGGUCUCAAGCGUUGUUCGGAAUCACUGGGCGUAAAGGGUGUGUAGGCCGCACGGUAAGUCAGAGGUGAAAUCCCGGAGCUCAACUCCGGAAUGGCCUCCGAUACUGCCGUGCUCGAGGACUGGAGAGGAGUCUGGAAUUCACAGUGGAGCAGUGAAAUGCGUGGAUAUUGUGAGGAACACUAGUGGCGAAGGCGAGACUCUGGACAGUUCCUGACGCUGAGGCACGAAGGCCAGGGGGGCAAACGGG